ACACUCCUACGGGAGGCAGCAGUGGGGAAUUUUGGACAAUGGGCGAAAGCCUGAUCCAGCAAUGCCGCGUGAGUGAAGAAGGCCUUCGGGUUGUAAAGCUCUUUUGUCAGGGAAGAAACGGUGAGAGCUAAUAUCUCUUGCUAAUGACGGUACCUGAAGAAUAAGCACCGGCUAACUACGUGCCAGCAGCCGCGGUAAUACGUAGGGUGCAAGCGUUAAUCGGAAUUACUGGGCGUAAAGCGUGCGCAGGCGGUUUUGUAAGUCUGAUGUGAAAUCCCCGGGCUCAACCUGGGAAUUGCAUUGGAGACUGCAAGGCUAGAAUCUGGCAGAGGGGGGUAGAAUUCCACGUGUAGCAGUGAAAUGCGUAGAUAUGUGGAGGAACACCGAUGGCGAAGGCAGCCCCCUGGGUCAAGAUUGACGCUCAUGCACGAAAGCGUGGGGAGCAAACAGGAUUAGAUACCCGUGUAGUCCCAUG
rnacentral:rRNA from 1 species